AUUUGCAGUUUGCAUAUUAUAAGUUGAAUGACAUGAAGAAUGCUGCUCCAUGUGUUGCUAGCUAUAUGCUCUUUGAUCAGAAAGAUGAAGUCAUGAAACAGAAUCUGGUUUACUAUGAGUACCACAGAGACAAGUGGGGCCUCACAGAUGAGCAUUUCCAGCCUAGAACAGAAGCUGUUCUAUACUUUAAU